AGAGCGAACGCUGGCGGCAGGCCUAAUACAUGCAAGUCGAGCGGCCACUUCGGUGGCAGCGGCGGACGGGUGAGUAACGCGUGGGAAUGUGCCCUUUGGUACGGAACAACUGAGGGAAACUUCAGCUAAUACCGUAUGUGCCCUUCGGGGGAAAGAUUUAUUGCCAUUGGAGCAGCCCGCGUUGGAUUAGCUAGUUGGUGGGGUAAAGGCCCACCAAGGCGACGAUCCAUAGCUGGUCUGAGAGGAUGAUCAGCCGCACUGGGACUGAGACACGGCCCAGACUCCUACGGGAGGCAGCAGUAGGGAAUCUUGCGCAAUGGGACAAGCCUGACGCAGCCAUGCCGCGUGAAUGAUGAAGGUCUAGGAUUAGUAAAUUCUUACGAACCGGGAAGAUAAGUGACGGUACCGGAAGAAGAACGCCCCGGAUAACGUUCGUCGCCAGCGAGCCGAC
rnacentral:rRNA from 1 species